GUGCCAGAGGAAGACAUCCCAAGCAGUCAAACCAGCUGUCCACACCUCAGUGGCCAUAAGCAGCGAAGAAGCGAACAGGCAUUUCCUAUCUCCCUUUCUAUCACACAUGUCCUUAAACAACGCGAAGUCCGGGACGGGCUGCCACUGCCGCGACAGAGACCAAACCCCAUUUUGCCCAUCCUCGGGGGCAGGUGGCUCCUGCCCAGAAGAAGAGGAGGAUUCUUGUAGCAUCUCUGCAUCUCCAGGUUGCUUCAGCCUUUCCUCUUUCAGGCACUGACAGAGGAGCAAGAACCGUUGGUAGUCGUGACGAAGCUAAAUUGUAUUGUCAUCUGGAAAAAACCAGGAUAAUCUCCAAUCUUCUUCCUUAAACUGUAGAUAAAUAUUAAAGUAUAGUCUAAUUUCCUGCUAUUAAAGAAAAAAAAAAACCCAACAUAUAUUCCUGUGCUGUUUCCUAUUUUUGCAUUGUGCAGAUCACAACAAAAUUGCAUCUCUUCAGAACUAUGAAGUUUUUAAUAAACUCUCUAAAUAUUCAAA